AACGGCCGUACCAUGCUGAAUAUACCGAUUCUCGUUAGAUCACCGAAGUCAAGCAUCAUUGGGCGCGGUCAGUACUUGGGUGGGUGACCAUCUGGGAACACCGCGUGCCGUU